UGGGGAAUUUUCCGGAAUGGGCGAAAGCCUGACGGAGCAAUACCGCGUGAGGGAGGAAGGCUUUUGGGUUGUAAACCUCUUUUAUUAAGGAAGAAGAAAGUGACGGUACUUAAAGAAUCAGCAUCGGCUAACCCCGGGCGUGCGGUGGAUACUGCUGGGCUAGAGGAUGGUAGAGGCGAGUGGAAUUCCCGGUGUAGCGGUGAAAUGCGCAGAGAUCGGGAGGAACACCAGUAGCGAAGGCGGCUCGCUGGGCCAUUCCUGACGCUGAGACGCGAAAGCUAGGGGAGCGAACAGGAUUAGAUACCCCUGUAGUCC
rnacentral:rRNA from 1 species